GACGAACGCUGGCGGCGUGCCUAACACAUGCAAGUCGAACGGAAAGGCCCUGCUUUCUUGGGGUGCUCGCGUGGCGAAGGGGUGAGUAACACGUGAGUAACCCGCCCUUGACUUUGGGAUAACCUCAGGCAACUGGGGCUAAUACCGGAUAGGAGCUCCUGCUGCUUGGUGGGCGUUGGAAAGCUUCGGCGGUUGGGGAUGGACUCGCGGCUUACCGGCUUGUUGGUGGGGUAGUGGCAUACCAAGGCUUUGACGGGUAGUCGGCCUGGGAGGGUGGCCAGCGACAUUAGGACUGAGGUACGGCGCAGACUGCAAUGGGAGGCAACGGUGGAAAGUAUUAUACAGUGGGCGGGAGCGUGAUGCGACGGCGCCGCGUGCGGGAAGACGGCUAUCUGGUGGGAAAGCGCAUUCGCCUAAGACGAAGCGUUAGUGACGGUAACGGGUGAAGAAGCACCGGCUAACUACGUG
rnacentral:rRNA from 1 species